GCUUGCAGCAACGCCAGAUCCUUAGCCCACUCACCGAGCAAGGCCAGGGAUGGAACCCAUGUCCUUACUGAGACAAUGCCGGGUCCUUAACAUGCUGAGCCGUAACUGGAAUUCUUCUCAAUAAUUUAAAUGUGUGUGUCCUAUUUUUGCCACUCCCAUUUUACAGAUAAAGAAAUGGAGGCUCAGAAACUUGCUGAAGGUCACCCUACCAGUAAGUGGUAGACAAGAAAUCAUGAGUCCUGGGGAGUUCCCGUCAUGGCGCAGUGGUUAACGAAUCCGACUAGGAACCAUGAGGUUGCGGGUUUAAUCCCUGCCCUUGCUCAGUGGGUUAAUGAUCCGGCAUUGCCGUGAGCUGUGGUGUAGGUUGCAGAUGCGGCUCGGAUCCCGCGUUGCUAUGGCUCUGGUGUAGGCCGGUGGCUACAGCUCCAAUUCAACCCCUAGCCUGGGAACCUCCAUAUGCCGCAGGAGCAGCCCAAGAAAUGGCAAAAAGACAAAAAAAAAAAAAAAAAAAAAGAAAUCAUGAGUCCAGGUAGGCAGUUCCAGGGCUUGGUCUUCUAACCACCAUAGUCUCUGGUGACCCUCAAAUGUUGAUCUCCAAGAAGAGCUUGUUUCCGCCGACUGCAGCCUCUCUGGGAAGACUACAUGCUAGAACACUGAGGUCCUAUCUUUGUGCUCCUCCAAGGCCAUCUAGAACUGCUCAGGGAUAAAAUUGAGUGAGGGCCUGGGAAUGGGCGAAGGAAGGAAGGAAUGGGUAGCCCCUUAUGCAGACCUGCUGGUCCUCCUUCCCCAUCUCUAGCAAAUGGCACCUCCUUGCAACCACUCUAGGGACAAAGGAGCCCAUGAAUUUCCUUGUGCUUCCUCUGCCCUCACUCCCUGUGUCACCCAGACUCGCUCUUCUGGCCUCCUAAUGCUAUCACGUUCUCCCCUGGCAGGGACCACAGCACCCACUUUCAGGUCCCUUCAGUCUUCUCUAGGGCCCCUGCAGCAGCUUCUAAUGGAUUAGGAAUUAGACCAGUGUCUAACCCAGUGCUUCCCACACUUGUUAAAGCAGAGACUGCUCGGCCUCUGCCCCAAUUCGGAUUCACUUGUCCUGUGAAUUUGCCUUCCCAACAGGUUCUCAGGUGCUGAUGAUACUGCUAUUUGGGGGUUGGUUGCACUUGGGGGACCACUGUGCUAACCUGCUCUCUACACAGCCUCCAGAGAAAUCAUCUCAAACUGGGGAACUCCCAUGCUUUGAACCCACCAUGGAUCCCCAUUGCCCUCAGAAGAAAGUCCAAACUGUUUAGCAUGGGCAGUAGCCUACUCACUUCUGCAGCCUCAUCCUGCCUUUCGGGUUAUUAGACUGCUUCAGUGCAGCACUGUUCCUGGCACUGCCCUCCCUCCACCCCCAACUGCUGUUUUCCCCUAUUUUUCACAGCACAAGGAACACAUCCAUGACAUCUAUUGUUCUUGUUGGGUUGGAACUGAUAUCCGCAGUUGGAACUGGUGGUGUCAGGGUCCGAAUCGUCCUUUAGGUUACAGCCCUGACAUUCGCCUCGCAUGGUCUGGCUGUAGCUAUUACUCCCAGAGGCAGCAUUUGCCCCUUGGUUCUCCACUCCCCCUUGCCCAGGCCCUUUUCUCUUUGAAUCUGACCUCUUCAUACGUGCACGUGGUGGUGGUGGGGCAUCUGAGACAGAUGAAAUGCCAGCUUUGUGGUGGGCAGCUUCCUUCAGGGGAUGCCUGCUAAUGAUGCUAUUGAUCCAACAAGCCAGCUUGGCUGGCCAGGAUCCUUGUCCCUGCAGCCUGCAUCCCAGCCCCUUCCAGGGGGAAACUCCCUGCUAAUUGCCCAAGUGAUUAUUACUGUCACUGUCUCAUGUGCUCUUUUGGUGCCAAACCAAUGGGAGAAGGAGUCGCAGAGCCGAGAGAGGAGACUCACGGUGCUUUUGAAGACACUGCAGUUGCAGUGUUGUUCUUCUCUUGAAAUCCAGGUAAAUUUUGUACACUUUGGAACAGAUCUGAAGCUCCCAAAGAAACCUGGAUGACUUCACUAAUUAAAUUCCUCCCUCCUCCUCCACGCCAGUGGGCGAGUCCUUGCAUUUCCCCAGAGGCUCCUGUUCCUCUUCCACAGAAUAAGAACUUUGGAGUAAUGAACACUAAGGACUUGUCCUUAAAAGUCCUGAAUCCUGUCACUAUGGGAGUUUUGCCUGUUCCUAAUUAACCCUGACCUUGUUCUCUCUGUAGCCUCAGGCUGAGCCUGCGCCUUGAGCAGGAUGCACUAGAGCUGGGUAAGAGGGAGAGGCAUUCGCUUUUAGGAAAAUCAAUUUGGAUUCAGCAAAUAUUUGUUGAGCUCCUACUAUAUGUCCAUUUCCUGGGCUAGAGUCACCCUCAGAUACCCAGAUUCUUCCUUAAAGUCUAUCUUGCACCAAGAUGGCCACAUAAAUUAGAAAAUAAAUAAAACAAUGAGAUAGCGGAGUUUCUGUCAUGGCUCAGUGGUUAACGAAUCUGACUAGGAACUGUGAGGUUGCCAGUUCGAUCCCUGGCCUUGCUCAGUGGGUUAAGGAUCUGGCAUUGCUGUGAGUUGUGGUGUAGGUCGCAGAUGCAGCUUGGAUCCCUAGAUGCUGUGGGUCUGGCAUAGGCCAGCAGCUACAGCUCUGAUUAGACCCCUAACCUGGGAAACUCCAUAUGCCGUGGGUGAGGCCCUAGAGGAGACAAACAAACAAACAAACAAAAACAAUGAGAUAACGACAUUCUAUUUAUCUUCAAGACCCCCCCCUUAACUAGUUGCUUUUCCUGUCAUAUGUUAAUGGAAUUUGCAUUUUUGAUUUGUUUUUGAGGGGCCUUUGGUUUUCUUUGACCCCACAAUUUAAACACUUGCUUUUAGAUUAAAGACAUGUCACAAGGUAGUCUCUUACUUAAAUAUCUUAAUAGGAUUCAGGGAAGUGGCCCAAAUAACAGAAAAUUCUAGAAUCCACCUACGGAGGCUCCCCUCAGUCUUGUUGUAAAGCCAGCUGCAUGUACGAUUUUCUGAUGCAAGAGCAGAAGCUCCCUGGGGACAGGGACAAGAUCCUACACUUUUCAGUGGCUCAUUGCUGGGCAGAGGGUCAAAGCUCACUAAAGUCCUCUUCAAUGUGUGUGUGUGGGGGGGUCCCUCUUCUCCACCCAAAGCAUCUUAUGGAGCAUAUAACAGCAAAGCAAUCAGGUGCCACUGUAAAUGAAGCAAAAACCAAACAAAAACAGGCCAGACAGAAAACUCUCCCUAAACCUUCCAUCACCUGCCCUGUUCCCCACCCACUUCUCAGAAUCUAAGGGCCCUGAUUUCCUUCUUCCCCCCAUUCUGUAUGGCAGCCUUGCUGGGCCCUCCCCGCCAUGGGUUUGAUGGGGGCAGCUGCUCCGUGCUGUCUGCCCCAACGCUGAGUGUCAGACAUAUGUUUGUUGUGUCUACUCUUAAAUGGUAAACACUUAGGGUUUGAAGAAAGUCCAUAGCUUGGAAUUCUUGUUUUCAACUUUGGAUUCCAAUGAAAGUCAACUACGAGCAUUCAGGAGUGAGUUGUUCAGUAGAAUUUAACCUGAACGAGAGCUUUUGGGACUGUUUAUUCUCUGCCUAUUCAACAUUCCUCUGCUUCAUCAGAGGAGCCUCUUCAUACCUUCCCUAUUAUCACGCACAGUGUGGUCCAGCUGGGGUAAAGGAAAAAGCGGGCUCAUAAGGAAGAUGGUGUUGAGCAUGUACCAGUGUGUGGUACACAGUAGGUGCUUAGCACAUGUUCGUUCUCCUGGGUAUUGUCCUAAUGUAUGAUCUUUCUAUAGAGUUUCUGAAGCAGAGGUUCUAACCCUAGUUCAUGAGCAUGAAUGGAAGAGAACUGAGCCGUCAUUUCCACUGUUUUUAUCAGAAACUUAGGAUGUCUUACCAUACCUGAUGUGAGUAACAAACCACAGUACUAUCAGGAGCACCUGUAACUUUCUCAUUAGAAAUACUUUCCUAUUCUGUUACAAUUGUGGCAGAUAUCCUGAACUAUCAUUUAUGUUUCCUUACUACUUCAAUUAGGCCCACCAUUUAUUAUUUAAGGCUUCAAAAAAAAAAAAAAAAGCACAUACAUCACUUAAUCUCAAAUUUGUGGUUUGUAAUGUUUUGGUAACUGCAUUUUCUAUAAUUGGUUUCUUUUGUGAGCUUAUGCACUUUAGUUUAUGCACCUAAGAACCUUGUUCUGAGAAGGGCUCCAUAGGCUUCGCCAGACGGCCUUAAUCUCAGCACAAAGAUUAAGGCUUUCUUUUCUGAAGAACUUCUUCUCUUUAUAUGGCUUAUAUUUCUCGUUCUAGCCCUUCUUUUUAAAUGUUGCUCAGGAUACUUAAAUACGUCUUUCUCUCUCUCUGUCUCCCCCCCCCCUCUCUCUUGGGUAAAAAUAAAAAGUUUUAGGGAAGAGAGAAAACUGUCCAUUAUGUAAGACGUCAACAUCUUGGUGAAAUCUGAGAAAUAUUUAUUGCAUGCAUUUUUUUUUUGUUUCGAACGUAUUUGUAAUCAAAUGGUAAAUUCCAAUUCUGCAACAUGCUUCACUUUUUUAAAACCACUGAAAUAUCAUGUAUCAUCUUAGCUUGAGGCACCCUCACCCCUUAACAUGGUUAAUGAUUAUGUUGCUGUUUAUUUGUCCUGAAUUAUAGCUGACUCGUCUCUGCCUUGGAAAUUAGGUAAGGACACCAUCUUUGGUAUACAUUUGGCUGCCUUUAGGCUCUUCUAUUCUUGGUUUAUAUGUAGUUUUGUUUCUUGCAUAUUUACCACUUUCAAUAAUGCUUUCAUCAGACUUGGGGGAGAACUGUUGUGGGAAGUUUGAAUCCAUAACAGCUUAAUUGGAAGGAUCAUUAAUUUUUUGGAUACACUGUCUAAUCUCCUCUCUCAGAUAGCCAGGCUCCAGGGCUCUGAUAUUAUGGGAAUUUAGGUCAGUCAUUGGCGUGGGGGAAGGAAAAAGAGCAUCUUUUUUACUGACUAUACUGCAUGGAACUUAGGGGUAGGGUGGAAGGCAGCAUUUCAGGGAGAUGUCAAAUCAGAUCAAAACCAGACAAACCACUGGUUUGAACAAUCAAUCCCCAAGAAGCUGGACUUAGAGGGAGCAGGGGUGGAAAAAUCAUAUACUUUUGAAUCCAAAGAUUUUCACUUAAAUCCAUUCACUCAUUUAGGGAUCCCAAGAAGGUCAAACUUAAUGAAGCUCAAUUUUCCCAUCUAUAAAAACAGAGUCAUGCGAAAACCCAUCUUUUGGUGUUGGUUUUGUGGAUCAAAUGGGAUCAUAUACGUACAAGUAUAGUGUGAUGUUCUUUUAUUAAUAACUAUUAACCGAUUUGUUGAUAUAUCGGUAAAUGUGAUGGGUGUUUGGAUGAGAUGUUACAAACUAAUUAAAUAAUCCUCUCGUCCAUGAAGACUUCUAAAUCCCUUUGAGUUAUUAGUUGCUCUUUGUCUUCUAUGUCCUCAGAAUAUUUCGUUCAUGUCACCGUAGUAGCCGUGUCACACUGUGUUGUCACUUCUGGCCCGUAUAUCUCUCUCUCGAUACCAGACUCUGAGCUUAGUGUAUUCCAUUCACCUCUCUACCCCUGCACCCAGCACCAUACCUGGCACAUAAAAGGUCCUCACUGAGAGAAGGAAUAAUGAGGCAAAGUAAAGAUGCAGCAGUUUACAACCUGGCAGAGGAAAGAUGCUGUGCCCAAAUACCACUUUAGGUAGGUUGAAGAUACUUAGACUGAUGGCAUUGGGUAGCUGAGCAAGGAGAGGCAGAUUAGGGUGUAGGGAGAGUUCAGGGAAGACUUCCUGGGGGAGGCAGAAUUUGAGCCGCACCUCAUGCGUUAUUUGCAUAUCAGCUGUGCUAUAAUAAAUGGAUAUAAGUUUUGCAUAUAUUUUCAUAAGGGCCUCAAAAUUCAUCUCAAGCCAGUGUGCGUGAUGUUCAAUGUGCAUGACUUUGCCUGAUUAAAUGAGUCCCAAAAGAGAACUGUUGAAAUUGCUACAUGGUAUUAAGAGACAACACAUAUUCUGGAAGAGCUCUUUGUUUCACAAAUCCAAUCACUGAAAAGCCAGCUCUGUCAAUUUGACAUGAGAACACCCCACCCCCUAGCAAACUCUAUUAGUUAGGGUAAAGGCUAACGUGCUGUCACAAAGAUAGCCAGAAAUACAAUGCCAUAAGGAAGAUAAGUCUACUGUACUUGCAUGGAAUGUUUCCAAGGUGAGCAGUUGAGGCUGGGGUGCUUCUUGGCAUCACAUGGCCAUUCGUGGACCCAGGUUCCUUUCUCUCAUGUUAUUGCUCUGCAUUGCCUAGGGCUUUGUCCUCAUCUGCAUGGUCCCUCUGUGAUGGGAUAGGAAACAGAGGAUCAGCAGGGCAAGUGGCUUGGAGAUGGUACAGAAGUUCCACAUGCCAUUGCCAUUGACAUCCUAUUACUCGAAACUUUGUCAUAUGCUCACUAGACAGAGCUACCUGUACGAGAACCUAGGAAAUGUAGUCCUAGCCUUGCAAGACUAAGUCUUAAUAUCCCAGCUUAAGUCCUAUUCCUAAAGACGAAGGAAGAAAUGGAUUCUGGUGGGUAGUCAUCAGUGUUUGCCCAAAGAGGACUGUGUACAAAACCAUCAACCAUUUACAAGCAUAUCCAGUGAAUUUUGGCAAACACUGAAUCAUUCUAUUACUACAGGCUAAAGAAAUACAUAUACUCCCAAUUGUCCAGAAUCCACAGGGUGGUAGAGCUUUCUAUGACUUCACUAAUCCAAUUAUAAGUGGAAUGGUUUAGUUUUGGUCUCUCUGGACCCAUCCAGAACUUAUUCCUUUUUCUUCCCUCUUUUCCCACACACCCUCCUGCCAUUUUCAUAUACUGCUGCUUUCUUUAAGCUCCUGACUUCUCCCAGUGUCUUGCCUUAAAUGUAUGUUGUUAGUCAGCCCCUCCUCCAUCUGUUCCCGUUGCUGGGAAGGGGCUUCACAUCUCACCAUGAGAAGAAGGAAGAGGAAAGAGAUCCCCACCAAGGCCUGGCUUCAGGGCAGAGGGUCUCUAAGACAUUUCACCCUUUGCACCAAGAGAUUCAACUCCUGCUGUGCAGUUUACUUAAAGAGUUUGUGAAUCUUUCUCCUCUCUAAGCUACAAGGUACUGUCCGCACUUACAAACAUAGUCACUAGGGGCACAGAGAGAAGGUGAUGGAAAGAGGGGAGAAAAGCCCACUUCACGACCGCAAUGGAAAGAAUUGAUCAAGGGAUGAAUGAGGGAGUUGAGUCAAUGGAAUUUUUGCCCUGCCUCCAGUUCUCCAUUGUGCAGGGCUAUAGCAGGUUGCAAGUCAGAUGUGGUCCUUUCAGUCUAGUGCUGAAGACAGCCCCUGAAUCAACCAUUCUGAGGGGGCAGAAUUUUACCAGGGUAGAUAUACAAGGGGCUUUGACACUUGGAAGGGGUGACCUAAGUUAGCAUGUGAGGUGAGGACAGGCUUAUCUUUUAAAGUAAGGUUUAGGCUGUGAUUUAAAUAACAUGGAAGAAUUAACUAGACGAGGAGUGAGUGGGUGAGUGCAGUGGAGGAUGGGCAGGGAAGAAGACAAUUCUAGGACCAGAGAAAAGCAUCAUGAGAAUCCUAAUGCAAGAGAGACAUUGUGGCCCCCCCAAUGGAACCAAGAGAUGUUCACUGUGGCUGGAGAGCAGAAAAUGAUGUGGUGAGGGCAGAAUGAUGCCCUGGCCAAAUAAUUCUUUCCAGGGAGUUUGAACUGAUUCUGAGGGCGGGAGGAUACGAUGGAAGAAUUUUAAGUAGUUAAGUGAUAUGAAUAGAUUUGCACUUUAAAAGAAAUCCAUCUGGAAUCAGAGUGGGGAAUAAAUUGGUAGAAGGAAGGGAAAAGGGCAAAGCAGAGGCCAAGGCUGUAAACUCAGAGUGAGAGGAUGGCAGUGAGUGAGGGGGUAUGGAGAGAAUGGGGGGAGGUUCAAGGGUCCUCAGGUUCCAUCCAGAGGCUACAUCAGAAGAUAGGGAGAUGAAAGAGGGAUUUCCCAGGGGUUUGAAUUGUGGAUACGUGGGGUCUUAAGACCUCCAGCUCUAGGCUGCACUGUCCCUCUCAACCAGCAGCUGGGAGAACAUAUUCUUCUUGUGACAACUGGUAGCAAUGGUUGUUACAGAUGGAUAAAUUGACCCUCUGAAGGGUUAAAUAAUUAGCUCAACAUUGAAUAGUUGGAGCUGGCUGAUCAGGACUCAAGCUGAGGCGGAAGAACUCAUAAAGCCUGCAUCCUUCUCCUUCACAGCAGUGUCUAAGGAGAAGCCCUGGGACCGUGCUGCUUUUGAGUUUGCUACACAGGUAUCCUCCUCUCACCGUGAGGACCAAAGAGUUAUGCUCAAGGGCUUUGUGGUUCGUUCUUUCUGAGUUACAAGCACAGUUAUCUCUUACAGACUUAGUUUCUGGAGGUCGCAGAGGAGGAGUGAUGGAAAGGGGAGAGAUGUGCCCACCCCACCAAAAUGGAAACUCGUCUCCUGGGGUUUAGAGAGUGGACGGGACCCAGCAAAGAAAAAUCAUGAGUUAAAGAAAUUUAGCAAGAGAGAUGAGAGGGGGAGAAAUCUACCCCUGAGGCUAGAGAACCAUCAGCCCUCCCAUUCCCACUGCCCACCGUGAUCCGACCACAGAAUAGAAAGAACAAGACUAUGAAACUACACAGUUCAGGAUGUGAAUCUGGCUUCUACUUAUUAUGGCUCUGAAGUUUUCAGACAUUUAUAUAAAUUUUCUGAGCCUCAAUGUCAUCUGUAAAAUAGGGAUAACAAUACCCAUAUUCAGAAUUUUGAGGUAACUUGACAAAGAACAUGUAUGGAAAGAACUGGUUGAGGCAACGGGGGCACUGGGUUUCCACAUUUCCAAGGUGAUCAUUUAAUUUAUCAUCCAAUGGGGACACUUGUGAGAGUGAAAGGAGAUGCUAUUAUAAUAAUACUGGGACAACAGGUGAAAACUGUAACUGUCCCAGCAAACUGGGACCUAUAGGUAGCCUGGGACAGAUAGGCACCUACUCUUACCAGAAGCCACUCAAAUCACUGCUACACCUGUUUUGCCUGGGCCCAGAUUUCUGCUCUGGGGCUGUCAGAACUCUUCAUUCCUUCAGGUCAUUCACUUAUCCACUCAUUCAGCAAAAUAAAUUCAGGUCCAGUGGUAAGUGCAAAGGAGGCAGCACCUAUCAAGACCCAGUGCAUGCUACUUCUUCUGGAGGAACUCAAAGUUCAAUGGGGGAAGACAGGCAGUGACAUCACACUGGGAUUAUUGUGAUUUAGGGACGAUGGCAGUGUGUCUGGGGUGGACUGUAGAUGCAUGGAAUUCAGAGUUGGAAGAAACUCUUGAGGUUGAGUGUAUUUCCUUCAUUUUAUAAGCAAGGAUACUGAGAGCCAGAGAGGCAAGCCAACUCUAUUAAAGUCAUCCAGAUAAUUAGGGCUCGCAAGGGAGACUAGAGCCCCCAAUUUUAUCCUGAUGCAGGAUAGCCAGGAUACCAGUGACACAACAGGACACAGGUGGCACAACAGCUUUGACCAACCACACUUCCGCCCUGGGCCCUGCCCACUACGUCCCCCGUCGUGUUGUCUACCUGUCGCUCUGGACCAUCCCUUCUCCUCUAUUUCCCACCUCUCUUCACAUUCCUCUCUUCCGUGAAUUUGAUUGGAUGCUAUGGGGGAGGCAGACAGGAGCAAAGAGCUUCUAGCCUUUAGGGGAGAUGGAUAAAUAAAUACAUGAAAAAAAGCAGAAAGAAGAAAUUGUUCUUCUUUGGCAAUACGAACAAUGUGUACUGGUAGUUUAAGGUUAUUAAUUCUGGUGGAGGGACUGGAGAUGACUUCUACUGGAAAGUGACAUUGAAACUGAGCCAAGACACUUACUAGAAACUUUUUCCAUAGAUGGGAAAAUGGAAAGACAGGUCAAGACCAGCAUGAAUGAAAGCACGGAGAAUGAAAACACAUUUCAUAUUUAUGUGAUUAUUGGUGUGUGGUGGGGGCAGGCAGGCAGACCCAUUAGGUUUGAGGAACAAUGAAGUAACUAGAUGGCAGAGGGUCUGAAAUGUCUUUUGGAGGGGGCAUUUCUUAAAUAACGUAUCUGAGUUUCAGAUAACGACAACAAUAUAGUAAUGCUACUACUACUACUAAUUCAGUGCUUGCUACAAGCCAGGCCUGCAGGUGAUCAUAGUUGUUUACGUUUAGAGCUCAUGACAAAUAUUUAAGUUGGAAGUUAUCAUUUUGCAGAUGAGGCAAUCUAGGCGCACAGAGAUUACCUGUUCAUCUAAGUUUGCAUUGAUGGCAAAUGACAGGCCCAAGGGCUAUUAGGUUUUGGACCUCUUUGCAGUAAGCAGACACUUCAGAGAAAUGUGGAGUGAGAUGUGGAAGUGGCCUUUGUCACCAAAAUGACCUGUGUCUGAAUCUUGCUGAUACUACCUUCUAACCGUGUAAUCAUGAAUUUGUCAUCUAGCCUUUCUAAGCUUCAGUUUCCCCCCCUCUCUUAGAGAGCAUAGUCACCAUGUGUAUUCCAGGAAUGGUAUGAAAAGGAUUUAACAGCUGGCUGGCAUGGCACAGCCUAGUCAGGAUAGAUGCCACCUCUAAACAAUCAGGGUGGCCAUUCUGAGGACCAGCUCUGCCCACUUCAUUAGGCUGUUGUGAAAAUGGAGUGAGAUUGUGCUUGUAAAUCAUUUAGAACAGCGCUUAGCACAUUGUAAUCACUCAAUAAAUCUUGGCUAAUCAGAGAGUUUAGGGUAGAACCAGAAUAGAAUUUAAAAAGGAGAGGUCAGGUGGAAGAGCCGACAUGGGGUAGAUUCUAAAGGGACCGACAUUUGGGAAACAGCCCCACAUAAUGACAAGAAGUCAGGAUUAUGGUGCAACAGAUCUAAGUGUAAAUUUCUUCUUCCUGCUUGAUGACUAAUUUGUGAUGUGACCUUAGGCGUAUUAUUUAUCCUCUUUGAGCUGGUCCUCAUAUGUAAACAAGAUUAAAAAAAAGAGAGAGAGAGAGAGAACAGCUUCCUAUAGAGUGAAUCUAAAGACCAUGUGCUAUGGACUGAAUGUUUGUGUACCCUCAAAAUGCGUAUGUUAAGAUCUUAACCCCUAAUUUGAUAGUAUUAGGAGGUGGGGUUUGGGGGAGGCAAUUAGAUCAUAAAUAUGGCAUCCUCAAGAGUGGGAUUGUAAGAGACAGAAGAUGGAUCUCUCUCAAGCUUUCUCUCUCUUUCCUUUUCACUUUCUCUGUUCUCUACCACAUGAGGAUAUGUUGAGAAGAUAACAUCUGCAAACCAGGAGGAGGGCACCCAUCAUAUACCAUGUCAGUCAGCAUCCUGAUCUUGAACUUCCCAAGCUCCAGAACUGUGAGAGAUAAAUGUCUGUUGUUUAAGCUACCCAGUCUGUGGUAAUUUAUUACAGUAGCUUGAGCUAAGAUACCAUGUUGAUGAUACUGACGAAAGACCAGCCUUCAUGGGCUCAUACAUAUUCAUAAAAAAUGACUUCUUUCACUGUGGAGUAACUUACUACUUAUUUACAAGGGGUUUGAUUUGAUUGGGAUCUUCAUUUUCUCUUCCCCACCAUGUCUGGUGGGAAGAUAUUUCUUCACAGAUGGAAACUUGAAGUGGACCUUGAAAAUAUCUUGGUGUAUCGUAGUAAAGUAGACCAUUGUGACAGGAGAUAUAUUUUUCCUUAGUUUAUUGUGCCCAAGAUGGUGGUUGUUCAGUUGGUAUUUUCUGUGUGUUGUUGUAAAUCAACACACGUGACAAGCUUAGGCCCGGGGAAUGCAUAUGGUGGCUACUGAUUUGUUUGUUGCCUGAAAUGGUGCAGAGAAGAACGAAGGUCACUUGGUGGCAUUAGCUUGUGCUGCUUCUUUUUUCCAACGCUCCUGGUUGCCUAGCAAUGUGUGUAUGCUUGACUCCCAGGAUGGUUAAAACUAGAGGAGACAGAUGAUUCUAGUGCAGGAGGAAAGGGGAUGUAGGCAGCUGAUCUUGGCUGAGUGGGAGCCUUGACGUGAGAGAGAUUUCAGGCUGAAUCCAGGCUCUAAAAAGUAUGUGUCCGUGGGCAAGUAGCUGUAUGUAUCUGAGUAACCGAGAGUAAAUGUGGCGUGCAAUGGGCAGUGGAGGGGUGAAAAGACUCGAGCAGUAUUGGAAGAAAUAUGGUCCCUCAAGGGACCAAGAGUACUGCCCACAUCUCAACAUCAUGUUUCAGCAUCCCAGAGAAAAUGUCUGAACAGGCUUAAUCAGCUAGAAUUUGAAACUGAGUUUUUCAGGCUCCAAAGCUGAAGGUCUAGGUUUCCUUUUCUGAACUUUUGUAUGCUUUAUCCUUUUGGCAUGUUUAUUCAUGAAUUCCCUUACUGGGAAUGCCUUCAACUUUGCAUGUCCAAACCUUACCACUCUUUCAAAACUACCUCAAAUACUACUUCAUCAAAAAAAAUUUUUUUCUCUCUUUAAACACUUUAUUUAUUUUUUUUGCUAGAUUAUACAUAUUGGCUCCCCUGCUAAACUGCAAACUUCCAGAUAUUCUCCUGCUUUUUUUGUAUAUACAGAUUCCUAAAAACAUGUAACCUAACCUCAGGUAUGUGAAAGAUACAGACAUUCAUGUUAGGGUGGGAGCUCCAUUGGAGAGAGCCUAGAACUCUAUAAAAUCCCACAUACAUCUUCACUUUAGUCACAAUCUUCAACAACAUAUUAUUCAUGAUAUUUUUAUGUUAAAAUUUCAUUUCUUUCUCUUUAUAAUUAAUUGCAUGUCUGGUUGACCCAAACCAAGUUCAUUAAACAUUGAAUUGAAGUGAAGCUUUGCUGUUUUAGGGCGCUGGAAGAUUUCCAUCUUAAUUUUGAUUGCAACAUGUUUAUGAGGCUUAUGCUUGCUAUCGCUUGUGUCAAGACUUUUAUUUUUCCAAUUUAUCCUCAUUCUUAUAAAAUAACGAGGACAAAAUAUAAUGAAGCAGUAGUUUUGUUUGAAACAAACAAUGGAACUCUCUUCCAUUGUUUGCAGGAUCUCUAGGAUCCUAGAAUCUUCCCAGGAUCCUAGUCUGUAAAACAUAUAGAAACGGUACAAUCUUGAUUAGAAUUGGGAAAAGGACACAGGGAUCUCAGAGGCACCUCUAUGAGCUCCCUAGAGCCCUGCUUAGUGAUCUUUGCAAUACCGUAUUCAUAUUUAUGCAUUAAACCCUAUUGCAUGCCCCAGAUGGUGACAUUAUUAGAAAGAACUUAGGAAGUACUACUAUUAGAAAGAACGUAGGAAGUACUACUAUUAAAUAGUUCAAAGUGCUCAUUUGUCAGCUCAUAGAGGAAAGUUUUUCUCGGGUAUAGCAAAGGCAGUUUAUGAUGUCAGUAUGUGGUCUGUAAAAAUGCAGGUUGUCUGAAAGUAGAAGUCUGGGGAAUGGAUGACUACAUUUCCCUGGUCAGAACCAUCUGUCUAUGUACACUCCUGGGACAGCUCUGUCCUCUUCCUUUCUUUGACAGGUGUCCUUAUCCUUCUACUCACUGAUUCUUGGCUCUGCAGUAACUUUUCUCUGCCCUGUUCUCUCUGGCACUAAGCUACUUCAUAGAUAUGGAAUUAAAAAAUUGAGACAGAUCUUUGAAGGAUUUCAAGUUCUUAAGGCCUGUAUAGUAUGUGGCCAGUUAGGCUUUCUUCACCAACCCCACACCAGUUGUUCCAUUGGAAUUGCUGUGAUGUCAGGUGUUUCCCUAAGUCUUUGCUCAUUUGGAAAAUCAGUCCUGUGUUUGCAUCCAUUCAUUCUUGUACUCAACACACAUUUGCUGAAUUCCUGACACAGGUGAACACUGUGCUAAAUGUCGUGGGCCCUCUUCCUCUUUCAAAUGUCUAUGCAAAUAGGACUCCCUCUGUGAGCUUUUCCAGCCUUCAUCACAUAAAAUUAGGGCUCCUGGCCCUGGGCUGGUGCUUUGUACAUAACUAUAUGUGGACAUUUAUUAUAAGCUACAAUGAAGCUGUUUACAGGGUUGUCUCUUCUGCUUGUUCCUGACCUCCUUAAGAACAGGCACUUACCUUAAUCAUUUUUGUCUCACUUAACACAGUGUGAUUUGCACAUAUCAGGUCAUGUACAUAUGGAAGGAAGGAAGGGGGCCUGUGUGGGGUAGACACACCCUAAGGUGGCCUCCAAUGUAUAUCCCUCCCCAAAGUGUAGGGGAAAUCUGUGAUUUGCUUCUAGACAACAGAAGAUGGUCAAAGGGAUGUGAUCAUCACUUUCAUAAUUGCCCUGUGUUACAUGAGACUCUACAUGGACGGGAGUGAGAGACACUUCUGUUGGCUUUGAAAAAGUAAUUGGCAAUUUGCAGGAGGGACUAUGGCCGGGUUCACGUGGCAAGGAACCGAGGGUGGACUUUUGGAGCUAAGAUUGAUUCCUGGCUAAAAGCAAGCAAGAAACCAUGGGCCCAAGUCACAAACCUGCAAGGAAAUGAAAUGUGACAAUAACCUAAACAGGCUUGGAAGUGGAGUCUUCCCUAGUCAAGCCUCCAGAUAAGAAUGCAGCUCAGCAGAUGUCCUUUUUGUUUGUUUAUUUGCUUGUCACUUGCAAGGUUUAUUCACUUUGAGAGGAAGAAGACCAUUUGGGUUUUUCACACGGCUGCAGAUGACUCUCUCUGAUAGCCCCCAGCCCAUGUCUUGACUGGAGCUCGAUGAGACCCUAAGUGGAGGACCGUGAUUAUCCAUGCCUGGCGGACUCCUAACGGAAACGGUGAGAUAAUGAAUGGACAUUGUUUGAAGUGGCGAAGUUUGAGGCCAUCCAUUAUACACCCUCAGAGAGGAUGUUCAGCAGGACUUUCUCCUGCGGCUGCAGAAGAGGCAACCAGUGUCCAGAGUAGGGAGCAAAGCGGCAGUAUUUUCCUCUGUCUAAAGACUGGGUCACUUUGCUGUACAGCAGAACUUGACAGAACAUUGUAAAUCAGCUACCAUAGAAAAAUUAAAAAUCUUAAAAAUAAAUAAAUAAAGAGAGCUGCCAACAUUCCCCAAAGGUGAGCAAGAGAGACUGUCACCUAUACCCCUCUUUUGUUCGUCACCCAAUCUCUAAAGGAGACGACUGGGGAGGAAAAAAGGAAGAGACUCUUUGGGGGUUCUUGUGUUGAUGAAAGUGUUCAGGCAAGAGUUGACUGGCUCAUCCCUCUCCCCUUGGAGUCAAGUGAUAAGAGCUACUAGAGAAGCCCUUGGAAGAGAGGGACCAGCCACGAGAAGCAGUGAUCAUCUUAGCCCUUAGUUACACCUACACUUAGGUAAUGGAUCUGCCUCUUGAGUAGAGGAAGAAGGAAUGGAAGUGAAUUGGCAAAGCUUAGGAAAGGCUGGCACCUGGGCUCAUCACUUGGUUUGCCCAGAAUUGGGAGUGUCCUGGAGGUUAAGAGGGUGCAGCAGGACAUACUGGAACUGAUCAACUCAGGCUAUUUACUCGGUAGGGAGACUGAAACACCAGCAGGAGUUGAGUGGGAGACUGAAGAGGCCAAUCCAUAUUUCCCACGGAAGGGAUCUAUACUUUGGGGAGCCUUCACAGGGCCCUGGAGGAAGCCAGGUAGGAGAGUCAGCCUGUAGAUGCCCACCAUCAAGGGCAUCAGUGGUCCAGAGCGGUGAAGGUAGAGAGGAUUCAAACACAUCUAAUUAAGGAAGGAGACCUCUGCCCCUUUCCCAUUCCUAUCAUUUCUUCUCUAUCCCCAACCAUUGAGGAGCUAAGAGCCUAUCUUGAGGGAGAAGGGAGGGAGGAAGUGAAUAAUUAGACUAAACACCUUCCCACUCAAAUCCUCUCAAACCCCGUGGUGAGUCCAUGAGAUAGAAGAGGUUAACUUGGUGUCAGAGAUGAAACUGAUGUUUUUAAAAUAGAAAGGACUUUUUUUUUAAAGGGCCACAGGUGCUGCAUAUGAAGGUUCCCAGGCUAAGGAUUGAAUCAGAAGUUGCAGCUACAGCAAUGUGGGGUCCAAGCUGCAUAUGCCACCUACACCAUAGCUCAUGGCAACACGGGAUCCUUAACCCACCGAGCGAGGCCAGGAAAGGAACCUAUGUCCUUAUGGAUACUAGUCAGAUUUGAUUCCAUUGAGCCACAACAGGGACUCCCAGAAAGGACUUUUAAUUACUGGAAGUAUCCAUGAUGUUAUGUAUUCUGUCCAAGUUUCAUCAAAGGAUAGGAGAGAGGGAUUUAAAACAAUAUGCCUGAAAGCAGAGCUCGAGAAAGAGAAUGAUUGUUCCACGUGUGUUCUUUCCAAGGAGUCAAGAUUCCCUAAUACACUUAGGUUUGCUUUCAACGCGUUCACAGGUGACUUGGGGAGCUAUAAUAAAGUCAGAAAUAACUUAACAUAUACCAGAGAGGAUGAGAUGAAUGUGCCAUAUCAAGCAUUCUGGGAAUUUAGAGGAUAGAUGGACUUUCUUCAUUGGCAGACAAAAGAAGGCAUCACAUGUGGUUCAUAAAUUCUCUUUGAUGUCAUUGCAACAAUGAUGAUAUGUGUUUGAAAGCAGAAAGUUCUCCAUGGCUAACAUCCCAGAAUUAUAAAAGAUGUUGGACUAUCUUUGUUUCAUUUAUUUUCUAUAUUGAUGGAUUUUUGCAGGAUUGGACUAUGCACAAUUGGCUGAGUAUCAAGCUGAAAAUCCCGAGUUAUGCUCUAGCUAUUCUUCCACUGUUGAGAAAUGGCCAUUUAAAGCAAUAGCUUAAACUGUCUUUUCUCUUUCCUUGUCCUCUCGAAUGUAACCUUAUCGAAGUUGGAAAAGGCAGAAAUGUUGUAUGUUCUGGCUAUGAUAGUAAUUCAAAAUAGUAAUGAACUUGAUCCUUUUCUUAUAGCUGUGUUUUAAUGCUAGGUCCUAGAAAAUAAGAAAAUAUGAGUCCAAGUAUGAUAGAAAGUUGUGUUGUCAAAGCUAUUCGAAUUUAUUUAACACAACCUAACUGAAGAAGUGAUAGUGAAAAUUGAGGGGGGGUGGAUUUUCAAGUUCUUCAGGACUUGACUGUUGGAUGUGGGGGUCGGUAAGCGAGAAGAAGGGAUGGGGAAGAUACUAAAAUUCUGCCUUGGGCAUCUGGGUAUAAUUACAGAAUCAGAAAAUACUGGAGAAAGAACGAAACUUAGGAGGAAAGUGUUGCAUUCAUUUUAAAAUUCCCUGUAACGGUUUAUUGAAAUCAUGAGAGACAUGUUCUAUGAGCUUAGUGGCUGUCUCCCAAGGUUAUGGUCAUUGAAAUGGGGAUGGUUUAGUCUUGGUGGAUUUUUCUGCUUGUCAAGUUGAAUAUAAAACUACCACAGAAUGUGCAAAGGCAAAAUAGGCAUUGGUGUGGGCACAUUCAUGCAGCAUGCAUUUAUUAAAAAUAUUCAUUGUGUGCUGACUGUGUGUCAAGCACUGUUCUGGUGCUGAGAACCGUCUGGUGAAGCAAUGGGCAAAGUUCUUUUCCUAAUGGAGCUCACGUUGGCCUGUCAGUGACCAUAAACAAAUGAACAAGCAGAAAUAUGAGGCUGAGCUCUGUUCUAUGCAGAGUUUAGAAGGUUCAUUGUGCUAGAGAGUGAUAGGGGCUAUUUGGGAUUGGAUGUUGUGGUCAUUGCUUCUGCUUGUCUUUUAACACCCACUCCUUCCCCAUUCCUGGGCUGCCUCCUUGUCUUGCUGGCACAACUUCAGUUUUCCUUGGGUGCUUACCCUCUGGUCAUCUUAGGAAAUGUGACCCUUCUCCAGACCCCCUCCUAAAUAUCAGUCAUGGUUGUUGCUUCUUUCCUACCAGUGAUUAGUUUUGGUAAAGCAGAGCCUGGUCAAUGGGAUCUGACCUGCUAAAGACGGCAGAGUAAACAUUUGGGAAGGAUCCGGGUCUUUGAUGAAGUCUUAAUUCUCAGGUCAGGGAUUGAACCUGAGCCACAGCAGUGACCAGAGCCACAGCAGUGACCAGAUCCGGCAACACUGGCUCCUUAACCCGCUAAGCCACCAGACAACUCUUGUUGGGUCUUCUUUGUUACUGUGCUAAAGGCAUCCUAACUGGCAUGCUGAGAAGGUGACAUUCAAGCUGACAUAUGAAUGGCAUGAAGGAGCUGAGUUAUGUAAAGAGCUGGGGGAAGAGCUUUUCAGACAAUGGGAGCAGUAAAUACAGAUGCCCAAAUAUGGAAGCAAAAAGCAUGAGGAAAUGAGAGCAGGCCACAGGUGAUGUGAUGAGUUAUGGGAACAUCAGUGCUGAGGAGGUCAGAGGGGUAGACCCUGCCAACCUACAUAAGGAGCUGGGGUUUUUUGUUUUUGUUUUUGUAGUAAAAUAGAGUAGCUUGGGUUUUCAUCUAAACACAGUGGAAGUCAUUGGAGAAGUUGGUCCAUUUCUUUCAUUUUUUUCAUCCCCUAAACCCGGCACAGAAUUGAACUAAAUUCUAGUUUACAGGUUUUCAGUUUGAUCAAAAUAAUUCCAACAAUAGAAAGAUCAUUUGAAAGUGAAUACUUUUCUCUAACGCUCUAGCGUAAAGAGAUAACCUUCUCCUUGACAACAGGCAAAGGGGUUUCUCACAAUUCUUUUAUCAGAAACAACUUCAGAAACUAAGUUUACAGGUAAAGAAAGUCAGCAGCACACGCAAAACUGCAAAGAUGACGACUCUUAAUUAGCUGCAUCAAAUGACUCUUGGCAUUCCUAAUUUUCACCUUUUUGUAACAAUUCAAUUCAUUCCAAGGUUUUACCAGAGUAGACAGGCAUGAAAUGAAUUCUCCACGGUAGGUUACCAAUGGCAAAGAAAUUGCAAGCUUUGAAAUGGCUGGAAGAAAUCACGUGAGCACUGGCUCUUGCUUUUCCCUAAACUCUGUGAAUUCUGUCAACAUUAAUUCUGAAAAAUAUGUAGGCUGCCUUAUUUGGGAGAAACGAACAGUUUUAUUUUCUCUAAGCCUUAUCUGGAUUCUGUCUUUUCCCUCAGUCCUACUCUCAUGACAAGGGCAGUCUCUAGCGGGCAUGCAGUGGAGUGGAUGAGAACCAGGAAUGGGGACACCUAGUUGGGUCCAGAUGAUGAUGUUGGGGGCUUCCCUUGACUGUUUGUUCUCUGGGAAUUAGUAGUGUGGUGGGGCAGCCGUAAUCAACGUAAUGAGCUUUCUCCUCUCUCAUACUGUAGUAUGCGCCAUGCGCCAGCCACGUGUUACUAUUUAGACUCUCCUGAAGAGUCCAUACAAUUUCCUCCGAUUGGUCUUUAAAAACGCACCAUGCCCUCCUCUUGGAAUGUCCUUACUCCACUUCUCUUUUAAAACCCAGAGCUUCUCUGUGAAGCUUUCUGUGUUGAGUAUAAAGCUUGUGUGCCUUCUCAAAUUCCCUUGACUAACCCCCUCCUUUUUUUGGCCCUGCCCUACGGCAUGUUGGGCCAGGGAUUCAACCUGCGUCACAGCUGCAAACCAAGCCACAGACGUGAAAACACCAGAUCCUUAACCUGCUGGGCCACCAGAGAAUUCCCAUCCCCCCUUUUAAAAAUGCUGCUGAACACCGUCUGGAUAAUGCCUUCCCCUCCUUUGCCAGUAUCCUCAUGAACUCCCUGAGCUGAUUGGAAUUUGAAAGGAAGCCCUGAAUCUACCUUUCCUUCAUGCCUCACAUGCCAAGCCCCUAAGGACUUUUGAGUGAGACUUCAGAGUCCCACUUUGGGAUGUGGGUUUUGGGUCCAUGAUUGGGCACUGAGGGCAUGGAGGAUGUAAUGUAAAUUGUGGAGGAAUCAACUCACUGUGGGAUGACCUCUCACCAGUGGAAGUCAGGGGAUAAGGGAGAGGAGCCAGGUUGAUACAUUCCAGCUCCUUUUGGCCUUUCUUGGGUUGUUCAGAAAUGUAGUUUCCUCUUUGCUAAUUUUUCUGAGAAAUCUUUCUGGAGGCUGAGUAAAUAUGCCUUGAGGUAUCAUCUGUGUCUCUUUGCUGCACAUUGUAAAGUGGUAGCUGCUGCAUUGCAUUGUGUUGUUUGUUAUCUUUCCUAACUGCAUUUCCCCCUUUUCCCCAACCCAUACUCCCCUUGGCUUUCAUAUCUUAUAUAAAGUGGCAACACUUCAAUUCUUGUCUUGGGAACUUCUUGAAUGAUUCUCACUGGGCUUUGUCCAUACCUCUACUGGGGACAUAAAGCUCUCUCAACCCAUCUCCUCUUACCAACUCUUAGAUUGUCCAGUGCUUCCCAUUUCUUCUGUAAACCACUCUGAAUGCUCAUGACCAGUAGACUCCUUGCUGUAGUCUCAUGUGCACUUCCACUUCCACCUGAAUUGUGUGCUUAUCCAGAGUCACUUAUAUUUUCUCCCGUUUUGUGUACACAGUGUUCCCUUGUUACUAUAAUCAUAUAAUGUAAUUAAAUGCUACAUAAGCCAAUACAUUAUGUAUGUGCAAAUAAUAAAGAGAGUUGUUUCUAUGAAAAUCUAGUUGAAUAAUUUAGAUUUAAGGGAAAACUGCUUUAAAAGGAACCACAGUCAAAUUAGACAUGGUAAAGUAAUUAUAAAAUUUUGGGGGGAAAAUUGUGACAUCUAAAAUUUUGGGGAAAAAUUGUAAUCAUACAGCUUUCUAAGUGCAUUUAAAUUCCAGCUCUACUUUAAGUAAACCAUUUAAUGAUCAGAGUCGAUAUAUUAUUAGAAUAGUUUAUGCAAGAAAGAAUACACAUAAUGCCAAUUCAUCAACUAAUAGUUACAGAAAAGGUCUUGGUUCUACAUCAGAAGAUUGGUAACACUGAAAGCUUCACGGCAACUGAUGGAUGAUAUAAAUGUAGGACUGAGUCAUGGUACCCAGGCAGUGGGCCCUGGAGGGCACAAAUUACCUACCGAUCAAUCUGCUGCUCAAAAACGUGUAGAGGAGUUAAAGUCACUUAUCAGUAGGAAAACUUUAAUUAGGGGAUAAUGGAUAACUCUCCAUUAAAGUUGAAACAGUUCUAACUUACAUUUUCCAGAAAACCAUGGGGCAAAGGGUAAAGCAGGAGCUAUGAUUAUACACAAAAUCCAAGCACAGAUUCUCAGGAGCUGCUGGGAGCAGUGCAGGUGGAAUUCCAAAUUUUGACUUUUCAUUAUUGGCAAAAGAAAGGGCCUCUGAAAUUGAAGAGAUAUAAAUUGUUUGUUUUUACAAGAUAAGUACUCUUCACAAAAAUCAGCGUAGACAGAUUCUGAAUUAUUCUAAAAUUGAUUUUUUUCCUGUGAAUAUACACAUUCUGUGAAGAAACACUUGAAGAAAAUAGACAUCUAAAAAUCCUAUGCUUUAUCAAUGUUUUUAAAAUUAUGGGUUUUGACUCUUGGUGGGUCAUGAAAUAAAGUUACUGAGUUCUGGAAAAGGAUUUGAAACAUAAAGUGAAGUAGAAUAAAACAACAGAAAAUAUCAGUGUGCAUUGUAUGUUGUUUAAGGUAUUUCAUGAAAAUUUGUCUCAUUAUAUGUGUGUAUAUGUGUGGCAUGUGUGUAUAUGUGAGAUAAAAUUUCUAACUGUGAUGUACAAUUUCUCUUACCUUAUAUUUCUGGUCAAAACUUUGAAGGCCUUUGGUCUAAUGUAAUGCUUCUUCAUGUUUUAGUUAUGAACAAUAUAAAGAAGUAAUAUAAAGCCAGGUUUUCACAACAUACUGCAUCUUCUUUGUUUCAAGCUACAGAUCCUGGGAUUAUAAAAAGUCUGAAAGAUAAUUUUGGAGUUUCAUUUCAGAAAAAAAGGAAGACACAUAUAUAUGUAUAUGUAGGUUACACAUAAUCAUUAAAAAUCAUUGACAUUAAAGGAAAUUUUCCUUUCAAUUUAGCGGGUGUGAAAUUCUCAGUUGGCUAUUUACUAAAUCUCAGAGAAGAGAAAAAUGUUGCCUGAGCUUGACAACACUGGAAAAAUUCUGAACUACAAGAGAAUAAUUAAGAAUACCGUGUAGUAAAAGCCCCCAGACAAAGUGAAGGUUCCAAUGAUUUACAGAAAGAGGAUUAUUUAACAAUGAUAUUUAACGAUUCCUACUUAUUGCAAUAUAUACUUAGUGUCAGGGAUGAAAUCUUUCUGGUCAUGACAGAAAUAGACAAAUUAAACAAUGGAGGAGACAGGGAAAAGGAAGUAUGAUAUCAACUCAAAUCUUCUCAUCAUGCAGAAGCCACAGUUGUACUUCGUUCUAUUGAAUUGGUGGUCAACUAUGUUAUAAUGUAUAAAACAUGCACAUGCUUCAAAAACAUGUUUCUAGAGCUGUGUUCCUUCUUCAGCUGUGUUCCUUCUUUGAAACACCUUCCGAAUAUUGGUUAUAUUAAGUGAAGGAAUAGUUACAUAUUUUAAAUUAAAGAAAUAUAUAUAGUUUUAGAUGUAUCAUUUUAUGAUACUCUGCUUUAACUGACGUUCCACUUGUGGGAACAAUACUGGUCUUGAUGGUUUGCAUAAGAAGGCUUCUACUGUUGCUAUCACCAUCUAUUGCCAGUGUUUGUUUUUCUGUCUUUCAUGCCAGGACCUAGUUUGGAUUCAGACCUCCUGGGUGAGACCCUAGCUUGUCUACCACCACUAGAGAGGCUCUGGAUAUGCAAUUCAGUCUCUCUGAACUUGAGUUCUCCCAUUGGAAGAAUGAGGCUGGGAUAUUACUUGAUUUUAUUAGAUUGAAGCUCAGAUAAUGUAUGUGAAGCCCUAAGUGUAGGGUCAGGUGGACAGUAAAUAUUCAACAAUGAUAGUUUUCUCUACUCUGAUGUCUUCAAUUUACUAUAAUAUGAUUGCUAUUGUCUUUUAUAAUUUCAAAACAGUUUUCCAGGAUAAAUUUUAGAUUGCCUGCCAUGGCAAUCAUUUCCAUUGCUCCCCAAAUCUUUAGGAGUUUUCUCAGAAUAGCAACAGUUAAAAUGCUAAUGACAGCUUAUAUUUUGAUGGCAUUUGAUAACUUAACUUUGAUGUACGUGGUAUAAUGGGCUUCAUUUUCUGGGUUUCAUAGUUCAGGAUCACAAGGCUCCGAGAGGUUAAUUUAUCCACUCCAGGUCACCCAGAUCAUGGAUGGGAGAAGAGGAGGGACCGAAGCUCUCCUGGCACCGUGCCCAGUUCUUUCCAGCCCUUUCUGUCACGUAUGCAGUGCUCUGCAUGAGCCAACGUGGAUCGCACAGCAUGUGAAGCAGCCUUCCCGGAGAACUCGGAAACCGGUCCAGCUUGGAGGAAUCUCAUUAGCACUUUUCAAAGCUUUACCCCGACUGCAUUUUAAGUUGUAUAAUUUUUCUGGAUCUGGAUCUCGAAUGAAUGCUGGUUAUUGGCAAGCACUGCAUCUCAUUCGGGGAAAGCGUUCCUCAUCACAUGAUUCAAACUGUAUCCAAAGACUAGAGAAGAGGAAACACAAAAACGCUUCAAAUGAAAGGCAUUUAGAGAGUCUCCUGCUACUUGACUUAUAAAAAUAAUGGCAAUGAUUCAUAAAGGUCGCUGUCUAAUUCCUUCAAGACCCAAGAAUUCAUGCAUCUGGACCUCCUGGUUGUUCUCUGUUCAGUUUCUCCACGAAGCCCCUUGCCUCUGUUUUGCCACAGCUAAAAUAAAUUACCAGGCUUCUCUUGUCCAUAUACAUGACAAUUUGAGGCUUUAAAACAAUGUACAUUAAAAAAAAAAAAAAGGAUUUCGGCAGCUUGGAAAUUUGCAAUGUUAGUAAUGCUUGGUACUUUUUAUCUUGAUAUAUAUAUUUUAAUCACAUCUACACUGUUGGCUGGGGUCAAGUCAUUCUGCAUUUUUUGCUGGGUUAUUUGCUUUUCUCAGCCUUCCUAGAUUUAGAAAGCUUAAUUUUAUUCCUUUCUCCAUUUUGUUAGGCUCAUAGUCACUCUUAAAAGAAUCAAAAUCUCACCCAGAAACAACUUGCUGGCCAUUUCCUAGAAUUUAUGGUUGUAGGGAGUACACUGAUUUAAUAAAAUAGAAGUUUUUUUUUUUGCUUUUUUAUAAGGGCCACACCCGCAGCAUAUGGAAGUUUCCAGGCUAGGGGUUGAAUCAGAGCUGCGGCUGCCAGCUUAGGCCAUAGUCACAGCAAUGUGGGAUCCAAGCCGUGUCUUCGACCUGCACCACAGCUCACGGCAACGCUGGAUCCUUAACCCACUGAGCUAGGCCAGGGAUGGAACCUGAGUCCUCAGGGAUACUAACUGGAUUCGUUUCCACUGCGCCAAGAUAGGAACUCCCAGAAGUUUCUUUUUGAAAGUGUUUUUCCCAUUGGCCAUUUCUGUUCUGAUCUUCCAUGUAUGUGUAUUUAUAUAUUUCAUUACUUUUUUGUUCUUAUUUUUUUCUUAAACCAUAGCAUGAGCCCGGGUAGACCUGGGUUUGAAUCCCCAGCUCCUUUUACAUUUUGUGCAUUUUCAAGGUUCUAGAAGGACAGAUGCCUCUAGGAAGAAGUUUCUCACGCCCUUCCCAUGGUUUAGGGUGGCAGGCAUUCCUUCCACAUGUUCUGGAAUAAUCCCUCACAUAUGGCUAUGUUGGGGAGUGGCGAGGGAAAGUCAGGGUCAAGAUAAACAUGAGGAAGGAGUGGGAGGAUUUGGAAAAGAUUAUUUCUCUCAAGAGCACGUAAUCAUGCUAUACAAAGAAACUAAUGAGCAGGAUUUGGAGAUGCCUGAAGUCCAAGACAUAGUUAGAGCUUAAAGUUAAAAGCCUUGAUUUUCUAGACUAAAAUUCCCCAAGUCUUAAAGACUUAAGCAGUUGAAAGACCCUAAACCAUUCAUAGUUCACUUAUCUUCAGCUGUAACUUAGGAAUUAACACCUGUCCCGGAAACACACAAAGCAGUCUUUUCUGGAAGAUGAGCUGCUGAGAAAUUUUCCUGCCACGGUAGACACGAACUACUGUUUUCGUUCAUACAGUGCCUUUGAACACCCUUUAUCUAUCGGGAAAAUUCCACUCUGUAAAACCCAUUCCUCUUAAGAUAGAAACCAGAAAUCUGGAAGUUCCCGGGGUGGCUCAGGGAAGGGGGCACGAGUUUGAUCCCUCAGUGGGUUAAAGAUCUGGCAUUGCCAUGAGCUGUGGUGUAGGUUGCAGAUGUGGCUUGGGUCCGCUCUUGAUUCGACCCCCUAGCCUGGGAACUUCCAUAUGCCAUGGGUACCAUCCUAAAAAGACCCCUGCCCCUCCAAAAAAAAAAAAAAGAAAAAAGGAAAGAAACCAGAAAUCUCUUGUCCAGUCUCCCUAUGACCUGGGUACAUUUGUGUGAGCAAGGGUCUAUCCAUAAACUGCCUGUAGUUAGAAGCUAGCGAUGUCAAAAAGGUGGGCUCUCCAAAAAUCCACGCUGUGCGGAUGGCACAGACAUCCCCAGGAUCCAGGGGCCGAAGGGGCAGUGGUCCUGGUGGUGUCAGGGGCUGGAGUCAGCGUUGCAAACUGCAGUGCUCUCUUUGCAACUCAGAGCUGCAGCGGGCUUGCAAAGCAGUUGGGGAUUUUUUCCUGGAGGUGUCACCUUUGCACUUGGUUUCCACACCCAUGUAACCGGGGUGCUACCACCACCCUCAUGGGAUCACAGGAGGAGGAAGCGUUAAUGGGCAUGCAAACACCUAGUUCUUGGUCUCCUGGAUGACCUCGAAUGUCCGUUUCCUUCCUUCCUUUCCUUCCAGUCUCUGUUGCAUUUCUCCAGGGUCAUGACGUAGCUCUCUCACAAAUCCAAGGCGCUGAGCUGACUGGACAAGAUUCUACCAGAUGUUAAGUCCCCAGUUCUAUGGUGACACCAAGGAGGGGCAUUACAGCCUACCUAAGGGAUGAGUGUGUCAGGCCGGGGAGGGGGUUUGGAGGGAGAGGUGGGAGUGGUGGGGGAAGGGACUUCUAGGCAGUGCAAUCCAGAAGAGCAAGAGUGGAAGACAGGGCUACAACCAUUUGGCUGCACGAGAGAAACUGGAAUAUGGCAGGUCGGUUUGCCUGGAGGGCGCAGGGCUGGCUUGCGUUUAUGCUGUCUGUUUGGAUGUCACAUAAACAUAAUUUUUGAAGCAGGAAGUUGUUCACAAUAUGCUAUUAAGUGAUAAAAGCAGAUUACAGAGCAGUAAAUGCAAAAUGAAACCAUUUUUGAAUCGUAUUGAUGUGUAUAUGCACGUCCAUAUACACGUGUGUAUUCUGUGUACAUAUAUAAUAUAUAGACACAUAUAAAUAAUUCUAGGUUGUGAGAUCGGGGAGAUAUAUUUAAAAAAUCUUUUAAGUUAUCUGUAUUUGAUUCUUUAUACGAACAUGUAUUAUUUUGUAAUAACAAUAAAAAUUAAAAAGAGAAAAAAA